rnacentral:lncRNA from 1 species
GCGAUGGCUAAGCCUUGUGGCUGUGGUCUGGCUUCAGUUCAUAAACGGAACAAACACCAAUUUCCCAGCUUAUUCUUCUGAGCUCAAACAGCUACUGUCAAUGUCCCAGUUGCAACUCAACAACCUUGCCUUCGCCUCUGAUGCAGGGAAGAUCUUGGGGUGUUUAGCUGGCUUUGCUGCAGAUCACCUCCCCUUCUCGGUCGUCCUCAUCAUUGGCUCUAUUCUGGGGUUCAUUGGCUAUGGAGUUCAGUUUCUAUAUGUGAGUAACCUCAUUUCCUCACUCUCGUACUGGCAAGUCUUUGGGCUCAGUG